rnacentral:rRNA from 1 species
AGAGUUUGAUCCUGGCUCAGGAUGAACGCUAGCGGCAGGCUUAACACAUGCAAGUCGAGGGGCAGCGAGGGUAAUAGCAAUAUUACCUGUCGGCGACCGGCGCACGGGUGCGUAACGCGUAUGCAACCUACCAUCAACAGGGGGAUAACACUGAGAAAUUGGUACUAAUACCCCAUAAUAUCUCAUGCGGCAUCGCAUGGGGUUGAAAACUCCGGUGGUUGAUGAUGGGCAUGCGUUGUAUUAGCUGGUUGGUGAGGUAACGGCUCACCAAGGCGACGAUACAUAGGGGGACUGAGAGGUUAACCCCCCACAUUGGUACUGAGACACGGACCAAACUCCUACGGGAGGCAGCAGUGAGGAAUAUUGGUCAAUGGACGGAAGUCUGAACCAGCCAUGCCGCGUGCAGGAAGACGGCUCUAUGAGUUGUAAACUGCUUUUGUACAAGGGUAAACCUGAAUACGUGUAUUCAGCUGAAAGUACUGUACGAAUAAGGAUCGGCUAACUCCGUGCCAGCAGCCGCGGUAAUACGGAGGAUCCAAGCGUUAUCCGGAUUUAUUGGGUUUAAAGGGUGCGUAGGCGGAUUGAUAAGUUAGAGGUGAAAUGUCCGGGCUCAACUCGGGAACUGCCUCUAAUACUGUUGAUCUAGAGAGUAGAUGCGGUAGGCGGAAUGUAUGGUGUAGCGGUGAAAUGCUUAGAGAUCAUACAGAACACCGAUUGCGAAGGCAGCUUACCAAUCUAUAUCUGACGUUGAGGCACGAAAGCGUGGGGAGCAAACAGGAUUAGAUACCCUGGUAGUCCACGCAGUAAACGAUGAUAGCUCGUUGUCGGCGAUACACAGUCGGUGACUAAGAGAAAUCGAUAAGCUAUCCACCUGGGGAGUACGUUCGCAAGAAUGAAACUCAAAGGAAUUGACGGGGGCCCGCACAAGCGGAGGAACAUGUG